rnacentral:SRP_RNA from 1 species
GCCAGGCGUAGUGGCGUGCGCCUGUAAUCCCAGCUACUUGGGAGGCUGAGGCAGGAGAAUCACUUGAACCCGGGAGGUGGAGGUUGCAGUGAGCUGAGAUCGCACCACUGCACUCUAGCCUGGGUGACAGAGCGAGACUCUGUCUCAA